UACGUAGGGACCAAGCGUUGUUCGGAUUUACUGGGCGUAAAGGGCGCGUAGGCGGCUUGUCAAGUCACUUGUGAAAUCUCUGGGCUUAACCCAGAACGGCCAAGUGAAACUGACAUGCUAGAGUGCAGAAGGGGCAAUCGGAAUUCUUGGUGUAGCGGUGAAAUGCGUAGAUAUCAAGAGGAACACCUGAGGUGAAGACGGGUGCUGGGCUGACACUGACGCUGAGGCGCGAAAGCCAGGGAGCAAACGGG
rnacentral:rRNA from 1 species